GGGGUGAUUUAGGGGGUUGUGUUGAGUUGUGUUAGAGUUGGUGAGGUUGUGUGUAGGUUGUGUGAGGGUUGUUGUUAGCGUUGUGUGAGGGUUGUGUGAGGGUUGUGUUAGCGUUGGUGGGGUUAGAGUGUGCAGAUGUUUAUAUCAUAUCCAUUAAAUAAAUUUGAACGUGAGCUUCUCAAUGCUGGACAGUGCACACCUCCCUCCUCAGAAUCAAAACACAGACAGUGUACAUUCAAGGCAUCCCAAUAUGUAUCUGAAUAAUACCAUAAUACUAACUAUACUAACCCCUACGGGUGUUUCUGGCUAACCCCUACGGUGGUUCUGGCUAAACCCCUACGGUGGUUCUGGCUUGGUUCUGGCUAACCCCUACGGUGGUUCUGGCUUGGUUCUGGCUAACCCCUACGGUGGUUCUGGCUUGGUUCUGGCUAACCCCUAUGGUCCUAAUUGGGAUGACGCUUUUUCCCUCCAAUUUUCUCUGACCUCAAUGCAACACUUCCCGACCUUAAUUCAUCAUUUGAAACUGGGCGGAAUUUCAAUUGGUGUUCCAUCCAAGUCUAGACAGAUCUAGACCGAGCCCAACCAUGUCAUUUCAAAAUCAGACGCAGUCAUCAAGUCAUUUCUAGAAUCCUAUAAUUUGUCUGAUCCAUGAGAGGGAGCAAUCCCACUUCUAAACAGUACUCUGUUUUCCCUCCAGUUCACCGCUCAUACUCUAGGAUUGCUCUGUACCGUAACACCCUGUAAUAGCCUCCACAUGACUCUGUACC
rnacentral:lncRNA from 1 species